rnacentral:tRNA from 1 species
CAAAGCGUAGCUUAAAUAAAGCAUCUAGUUUACACCUAGAAGAUUUCAUGCACAACUGACCGCUUUGA